rnacentral:lncRNA from 1 species
CUUUCUUCCAUUUUACAUGUCUAAAGCCACGUCUCCAGCAGAUGGUCAGUGGGGAAGAGAGAACCCUGGACCCCUACCCUCCCCCUCAUCCACACACCAACCUCCACGUAUCCCACCUCACAAAGCUGAAGAGGCUGCUCAAAGAAGUAGGCCUCCUAGAGUAAGGUGGCACACCACCAAUGAUAUCCAGCAACUUCGCACAGCCAUUGAAGAGGAGUGGGACAACAUUCCACAGGCCACAAUCAACAGCCAGAUCAACUCUAUGCGAAGGAGAUGUCUCGCACUGCAUGAGGCAAAUGGUCACAUCAGAUACUCACUGGUAUUCUAAUCCAUGGCCCUACUUUUUUUAAAGCAGCUUGAUACGUGUUCGACAAUGGUGGCAGAGGAGGAGAAGGAGCUAUGGGCGGGUCGGAGACGGUUGACCUCAUGUUGAACGAGGAGGACGAGAUCGUUGAGCGGAAGCUGCAUUGGGUGGUGAGACCUCCUAGGUUCCGCAGCGAGGAGCUCACUGCUUUGUGUAAGGUGCUGCAAGGAAGUCUGGAGGCUAACCGCAGGUUUCAGGCUACACACACCAGAUGUCACGACAUAGGAACUUUUUUAAGUUGUGGUUGUUCAUGUCAAGUGUAUCCCACCACAGAUAUUGAUUUGGCCUUUGUAUAACUAUUUAGCUUUUCAUUCAAUCUACUUUUCU